rnacentral:misc_RNA from 1 species
GGACGAAUCCUCGCGCGAGUGAACGCGCGGUCAUGGCUGCGGUGGCGUGCCCGAAGCGGCGGCCACCGCGCCGGAAUCCAUGGGCGGACGCCUGCCGCGUGGCCGAGCGUGAUAUGACGCAUUGGCGCUCGCGCGCGGCGAGGCUGCCAGCCCUGGCCCCUCCGUCGGGCGGGGUAGAUCAAGACAUG